CAUUCUGUGCCCGGCUUUGGCCGGGCGCGAGUUGGGCCGUGCCUUUAGCGAGGCUCGCCCUGAAUGCAUUAGCGGGUUCAAGACUUGUACAUGACGUGAUAAGUAUUUCGUCAGACCGGUCAGCGACCUGCUUCCAAUCGUCCUCGGACAAUUACAAGU
rnacentral:misc_RNA from 1 species